CCUACGGGAGGCAGCAGUAAGGAAUAUUGGACAAUGGACGAAAGUCUGAUCCAGCCAUGCCGCGUGCAGGAUGAAAGCCCUAUGGGUUGUAAACUGCUUUUAUACAGGAAGAAAAACUCCGACGUGUCGGAGCUUGACGGUACUGUAAGAAUAAGGAUCGGCUAACUCCGUGCCAGCAGCCGCGGUAAU
rnacentral:rRNA from 1 species